UUACUGAUAACUCAACUGAUUUGAUGAGAUCUAAUAGGAUGCAAAUGAAACAUUUAUCAUCUUACUUGAUUAUUUUCAUGAAAUGGACAUGAGUUAUCCAAAAUUUAGGUUAAUUUUUUUGGGUUUGUGUAAUUGAAACUUUGGUGAUUUUGCUGAUUUGAUGUGAUCUAAUGGGUUAUGGAUCAAAUUUUACCAAACUUAAUUGCUUUGUUUCAUGAAAAGGGCAUGGGGUUUUCUUAAUUUUAGGUUAAUUACACUUGGGUUUAUGUAGUUGAAAUUUGAACGAAAUUUUAGGUUUAAUCUUUGAUGUUAUCCGUGAAUGUGAAUCUAUGAUUAUCAAAUUAGGCGACUUAGUUGACAGGAUUCAUGGGAAUUGAAUGUUGAUGGUGUGAGUCCUGAUUGUGAUUUUUUUUUUUCGGCUAAGAUUUUUGAAAUUUUUUGGUUUGUAUAAAAGAAGUAUGCAAAGCAGCACUCUGAUUUUUGUGAAUUAUGAUGCGAAUCCCCUGCUCUAUUUUGCAUAAAGGUUCAGUAGCUUGGAUUGAUAUUCAGGACCACAUGAUUACACACAUAUUGAUGGAAAAUAUUGUGUGCUAGCUUCUUGCUACUUUGUAUUUGUACAGGUCAAUGUUUGCUUAUGUAUGUCGUUAGUACUACCUAAUUGAUUGUAAUGCUGGUGGAAAAGACCGUGACAGGUAUGGCAUGUGCUCGUAAACCCAUUAAAAAAAUCUACAAUUGUCUGGAUUACUUACUGGAAGUUUAGAAACUCUGCAAUUGUCAUCGACCGGGUACGACUUUAUUUGUGUGACUCAUUAGGCGGAUGAGGUUUUCUCCAUGGUUGAUUUUGCCGAAUCCCGUAGGGAAACCCUAGUUUGCGCAUUGUUGGUUCUAGGAGGCAUAAAGUCUUCAUACGAUGUCAGUUUCUGACACUUGACCCCAACUUGGAAGCUAACAGAUAAAGCUAUUAUAUCCAAAAAGAAUCACCUGAUUUGGAGUUUGUAUGGUCGGUCAUCCAUGCGUGGACAUUUACAACUUGCAAUCCCUUGUGAUUUUUCAGACUCCCCGGAUAUCUUGUCUCGUGCAUCAGUUAGAUACGCCCUUCUAGUACGUCAUAGCAGAGACAUAGAUGAACACUUCUCAUGACGGAUGCGGCGUCCCGUUCCUCAUCAAUGGUUGCUAAUUUCUGUACUUUUGAGAGUAUCUUGAGAAUUAUUAAUUUAGCGUAUCCUCCAUGAUUUUCCAGUGCGGUUAAAGUUGACAGUAAUUGAGACGAAGUCCCCACGUCAUGGGUGUGAUCAGGUAAAGGAAUCCAAGAAGGAUGACGUCUCCUUCUAUUGUCAGUUUGCUGAAUGAAUUCCCAACAGUGAGGGGAUCUCGUGUAUACUUCAAUCUCCAUGUGCAAUUCUUACGAUUCUUCGGAUGCGGCUGUCGAAUAUGAUGUUCCAUGUGGUUCAAUAAAUGAUACCGAAAAUUUCCCCAAGAGUUAAAGCUCGCAGUUGAGUCUCUUGCAUAGGUGGAGCAAGAAUACACUGAUGGCACUGAACCGAUCUUCAAAAAAAAUUCUUCCCUUUGUGGUUCUUCUUAUUUCCAUUCGGGGCUACUGCUACCCGCUUAGUAAAAUAUUAAAAGGAGGGGCAGCUUCUCAUUAAUAUUCCCGAGUUGGAGCGGGAUUGAUCGUCUGGGUCAAUUCCCCGGGCUUUGACGGAUUGUGUGACAACUGGUUGCAAAGAAAUUUGAACAUGACUCACUUUUGCGCAAAAUCUUCAGAUGUAUCAGAUCCAGAUCCGUCAUGUUGCGUAAUUCAUAUAACAGUCAGUUUGGCUUUGCUAGUUUGUUGGAGAGCUUCGGAACGUUCGUAGGAUUGGUACUUCUACUUUGUUGUUUCGGACUCGUGGGCACCCUAAAAUCAUAUCAUAAGAUAAUGAUUUGAAAUUUAGUGCAUGUUUGAAUGUCUCCCAUUUUCAGUUGCAUGCGUAGCCUUGCAUCUGGUAGCCCAUGCAUCUUUCAAAACUUUGACAGUGAUGAUGUUGGCAUCUAUUCUAACAUCGACUAGUACAUUCCCAAACUCAACUCGCUCAACACAGGUGGUGGUGAAAAGUGCCCGGUUGAGGUUUUUAUCGAUCUUAUCGAUUGCGACGGAAGCGACAUGGUUGAAGGCUGUAGAGAUAUCCUUGCGCUAUCUUGAUCUGGCGCUGGUGCCAAGGCUCGGGCGGUUGUUGAGGCGGACAUGGAUUAUUUGGAUCAGGCAUCUUUUUUAGGUGAAACUUCUCUCUUGGAUCUUUAAUUAAUAGCGAUACCAACUGAGAGUUGGUCCGAGUAGUGUUCGUUGAUCAUACACCUAUCCUCACGCGCGUCUCCAUGAUCUCUUCUAUGGAAUGCCUCGUACUUUCUAAUAAAUCUGGAGCAGUGUUGGCUGAUCGCUUGGCCGCUUCGUGAAGUUCCGAAAAAGUUUGAAAACGCAAAUUUUUGAGUAAGGCUCGAUAGACGGGGGUCAUACCGUUAAUACACGACUCUACCAAUUUUCGUUGAAUCACGUUCGGGUCGUGACAAUCCAAGGCUUGUAUUCUGAACCUCUUGAUGUAGUCAUUGGGAUGCUCAUUGUUGCGCUGAAACAUCCUCCCCAGGUUUGAAAGCGUGAUUUGUUCA